AUGUUUAUCCAUAAAUUCUAUGUGAACUAUUUUCAAUUAAACUUCACUGUGUUGCCCAAUUACAUUAAAAAGUCACCGAAAUAUGGAAUAACUAACUAAGUUGCUGUAGAUAGAUAGAUCGAUUCUAAAGUUUUAAGAGAGUAUAACUGUAAAUUAAUAGCAUUAAUUUAAUUUAUGGAUUAGUGUGUUCUAAUGGCCUUUGUGCUAUUAACGCUAACGGCAGCAUAAUAUAUAUUUCAUUACAUAUUGAUUAAUAUAUUAUAUAAUAUAAUCAUUAUUAUACAACAUAAUCAUUAUUAUAUAAUAAUAUAUCAUUGUCAUGUAUUUUCUGGUCAUCAUAUUAGAUUGGCUAUCAUUAAUUCAUCGAGUUAAAAAAUCUUUAAUUAUAGUUGGCUACGAAUAUUAUCUGGCUGAUUGCCAGUAGGGCGAACGAUGUUACUAAAUUUGUCGCAUAAUACAGAGUUGAGCGCGUGAAAGAAAGGAAAGAGAGGCAUUUGUCAUUCGAAUUGGCCAUUAGUCGUUUAUCGCUCGCGGACGCUUAUUGUAGGACACUGACACAGUUCCACAUUGCUGCUGCUACAAAUAUGUACGUUACCUAUUAGAUUUAAUAUUAUUUAUUCGUCCUUCAUAUUCACGAUUAUUUAUCAUUUUAUUUAUUCGCAGACAGACGCGUCGAAUUGUGAAGCUAUUGUCUUAAGGAUCGGUAUCUUUAUUUUAUAUUCUCUCGUUGUUAAAGUUGUGAAAAUAGCUGUGUAGUUUUUAUCCAAUUGUAACACCAAGUGAUUGAGAUUGGACGGCAAACUCUUGACUUUCAUGUAUAUGUCUCUGGGAAGUUAUCACACGAGCAAUCACUAUACUUCAUUCAAAGGUCUCAAAUCUUCGAUCCGUCAUUUGUCUCCAAGCUCGUUCACAGUACGUUACUGUACAUUCGCAGUCACACAAUAAUCCUAGAGCCGAACUCGAACGAUAGAUAAAUUACAAGAAAUAAUUGCCGUACGCGUAUCUUCUCGUUUCUUUGUUAGCGCGGAGUGUGGAGCACACUAAUUUUGUGAUAUAUAUCGCCUGUUGGUACAAAUAACACAAGUUAUGACGUACAUGUUUGUAGAGACGCAAUAUCCGAGUGAGGAAAAAGUAGGCGGAGGACGGAUAGGAGGUGGUCCUUCUCUGGCGAACAACUUGUAGGUAGCAUCCACACUAAACUAGCAUAGGAUUACAGGUUCUCUUUGAUAUUAAAUACAUUCCGUAGUAGAACAGAUUGCAUAUAAGACUAGCUGUGAUGGAAAAAGAAUAUAUGUUAAAAAAAGAAUAUAUUAUACCAGCUGCUAAUAUAUGAAGGAUGACAAGAGACGAGCUACAUUUGAUAAAAUGUAAAAUUGUAGGAUGUAUUUAUUUGCGUAUGUAAAGUGAUUGCGAAAAGUUCGACCGAGGUAAGAAGAGGUCGAGAAAGGAAGCAAAAGCUUUGUCAAUAUGCAAAUGAUUAAAUUUAAUAUGCCCGGAUUAAGAGUAUUACAGGGCAAUCUUGCGCGCAAUGAUGUAUUUAUCACGAUGGGAAAUGACAAAAAAGAGACCAAAAUGAGACCGAUUCCCUUCCUGCGUAAAACAUAUAUAGCUCAUAAAACACGAAUUUCCUUUCGUAUAUUUCUCGGUAAGAAUCAAAUACAAGUGAAAGGAGAGCACAGAUCACGUAUUGAGGCCAUAGCGCGAAUCAGCCAGUCUAACAUAAGUAUUCUCCUUAGUGUAACGUUGGUUUAAAGUGUACCGUCUGUUAUAUAUUUUAGUAAUUAAAUCGAUACUGUUGUUCGUAGAGUUUGCAGAGUUUUACGUCGAAAGCGUUACUUCGACAGCGGCUCGAGUGUUUCCUCACAAUGUGCAAUCUGUUUAAUCCAGUAUAGCGAGGGGUACAUCUCAGAAAUAUCUCUGAUUGAAGAUCCGAGAAAUUAACAGCGAGGAAAAUGUAAAGAAUUUCAAUAUGCAUUUCUGAGGCAUAAUGACGUUAACGGGAUUGUUUUACACCCGUUUCCGGAAAGGACUGUCCUCUCCGAUAUUCUCUCCCGAACAAAGAUGAGUGAAGCAUGAAUUGCAGCCGUUACCGUUAUCGAAGUAACAUUCGGCGGAAUUUUCCGAUGUUGCUUAACGGCGUAAAUGUAUAUGCGUUAGUGUAGCAAUAUAUAUGUGUAUAUGUGUGUGUGUGUAUAUAUAUAUAUAUAUAUAUACAUACACACUUACAUAUAUAUAUCUUCGAUAUAUUGCGUUUAAACGAUAAUGUCAAGAAACGCACGAUUCCGCGUGUAAACUCCAAAUACAUGAAAUCGGUCCCCUGUGUGCGCGGCCGAUAUUAAAGUGGAGAUAAUUUUGUCACGAAUAUCAGGUCGACAAUCGACAUACCGCAAUAUAUAUAUAUAUAUAUAUAUUGUAUGUAUAAUAAUAGUAGAGCGUUAUAUACUUAUGUACAUGUGUAUUGGUGACAAAAUUAUUGUAUCGCGUGUGACGAUAUUAAUUUGCGAUAGAAAAAUCGUUAAGUCCUUUUCGAGCCAGCGAUUGCAAGGAAAAUCGCUUUCCAUGGAUUUUCCUUUAAAUUUCUUGUUCAAAGAUCACGUAAUUAGUAAUCGUCGAGAGAAGACGUUAAAAUAUUUUUCGCUCAUUUUACAUUUACAGAGAAAGGAUUAUCAGUCACGAAUAAGAACGAUUCGAUUUCGAUCGAGAUAACGAUGGUAAAGGAAAGGACAAAACACUUAACGCAUGUCGUUGAGGAUUUUCCAAGACAAUUGAUACGGCGAUUUUGUAGCGGCUGCAUCUGCACAAUGUGGCAAAAGCAGUAUUAGUCGGCCAGUCAAUGUUACCUACGAGUUGUUUAAGCGAGAGGACGAUGUGUUACGACCGGCAGUCAUUGCCCACCCUUGUUAGAAGAAUCUUUUAUUUUUUCAUACAGCGCUUUGUUUUGUACAGUUUAAGAUAUAUUUCUCCGUUCCGCAAAUUGUUGUUGUAAGCGCGAGAAAGGAUCGCGGCGCGAUGGGUAACACGCGUGUACGCGUCGCGUCGCCAGUUGAUAGUUGUAACCGCAGUACACAGGCGUGUAGAUUAUGUGUAGCUAGUUUCUUAAAUUUCUUACGGAAUUAUGUCAUUGCAGAGCAAGUUAAACUAACAAUAAAUUACCGACUCUAUCCAAGACAAAAAAAAAGAAAAAGAAAAGAGGAAAAUAAUUAUGUAUCUGUAUACACACAAGUACGCUCGCACACGUGCACACGAGAAUACAUGGAACGAAGGGAGGAAAUGUUAAAUUAUAACUCUUAUAAAAGAAAUAUAUAUAUAUAUAUCCAUCUACACACACACACACACACGCGCGCACACACACACACACACACACACACACACACACACACACACACACACAAGAAAAUGUGGUGUAGCGUAGUAAUCAGGGAUGUAGGAAUUGCAUUGACUCGCCUCAAUUCUAAUUAUGACUAUUAUUACGGUAACUAUAUUAACUGAAUUUGACACUCGUCACUGCGCGGAGGGUGACUUGCGUGUCACGUUACUUGGCUGUGUGUGUUAGGUUACAUCGUAAAAAAAAAAUCAUGUUCCAUCGUACUUUCAUUGCUUCACUUCGCAUUAAACUCCAUUAAACCCGGAUGCGAGACGAGAGAGAGAGAGAGAGAGAGAGAGAGAGAGAGAGAGAGAGUGUGAAAGUGUGUGUGUAUGUGAAGAAGGAAGAGAAAAACUCGAGAGGAAUAAAAUGGAGAAAAACGCAAAAAGAAAUGCAAAACGAUGGCAUUCGGAAUCGCGUUUUAUGCUGAGGGUAAAAAAA